UUAAAUGAGAGUUUGAUCCUGGCUCAGGACGAACGCUGGCGGCGUGCCUAAUACAUGCAAGUUGAACGCAACAUAAACACCAGAGCUGCUCUACCGUUAUGUUGAGUAGCGAACGGGUGAGUAACGCGUGGGUAACCUGC
rnacentral:ncRNA from 1 species